GUGCUUCAACAUGUAACGCAUGUACUAAACUGGGACCAAUACAGAGAAGAUGAGCAUGGCCACUCUCAAGAAGGACGACAGUCACAAUCAUGAAGCCUCCUCACCCUUU